UACGUAGGGGGCAAGCGUUGUCCGGAAUCAUUGGGCGUAAAGCGCGCGUAGGCGGCCCGGUAAGUCCGCUCUGAAAGUCCAGGGCUCAACCCUGGAAAGCGGGUGGAUACUGCCGGGCUAGAGUACGGAAGAGGCGAGUGGAAUUCCUGGUGUAGCGGUGGAAUGCGUAGAGAUCGGGAAGAACACCAGUGGCGAAGGCGACGUGCUGGGUUGCACCUGACGCUGAGAUGCGAAAGUGUGGGGAGCAAACGGG
rnacentral:rRNA from 1 species